rnacentral:rRNA from 1 species
GAUGAACGCUGGCGGCGUGCCUAAUACAUGCAAGUCGAGCGAACGGACGAGAAGCUUGCUUCUCUGAUGUUAGCGGCGGACGGGUGAGUAACACGUGGAUAACCUACCUAUAAGACUGGGAUAACUUCGGGAAACCGGAGCUAAUACCGGAUAAUAUUUUGAACCGCAUGGUUCAAAAGUGAAAGACGGUCUUGCUGUCACUUAUAGAUGGAUCAGCGCUGCAUUAGCUAGUUGGUAAGGUAACGGCUUACCAAGGCAACGAUGCAUAGCCGACCUGAGAGGGUGAUCAGCCACACUGGAACUGAGACACGGUCCAGACUCCUACGGGAGGCAGCAGUAGGGAAUCUUCCGCAAUGAGCGAAAGCCUGACGGAGCAACGCCGCGUGAGUGAUGAAGGUCUUCGGAUCGUAAAACUCUGUUAUUAGGGAAGAACAUAUGUGUAAGUAACUGUGCACAUCUUGACGGUACCUAAUCAGAAAGCCACGGCUAACUACGUG